rnacentral:rRNA from 1 species
CCUACGGGUGGCAGCAGUGGGGAAUAUUGCACAAUGGGGGAAACCCUGAUGCAGCAACGCCGCGUGAGUGAUGACGGCCUUCGGGUUGUAAAGCUCUGUCUUCAGGGACGAAAAUGACGGUACCUGAGGAGGAAGCCACGGCAAACUAAGUCCCAGCAGCCCGGGAAAUACGUGGGGGGCGAGCGUUGUCCGGAUUUACUGGGCGUAAAGGGAGUGUAGGCGGACUUUUAAGUGGAAUGUAAAAUACUCGGGCUAAACUUGAGUGCUGCUUUUCAAACUGGAAGUCUAGGGUGCAGGGGGGGAGGAGGGACUUCCUGGUGUGGCGGGGAACUGGG